UGUUUUGAUGCCCCACAUAAAACACAUAAGAGCCCCGAGCCUCCCUCCCAUCUCACUUCCCUGAUGGAUGCCAAAUCCUCCUCAUGAUGUCCACCUGCCUCCAUUCCCGGCCGGACAUCGGCCCCAUCUUCCGAGGCCUGCGGCACGUGCAGGACGUGGAUGGGAACAUGACAAUUAGGGCAGGCACGUCGACGACGGCAGCGAAACACACACGCCCCCCUCCCCCAACCAGCCCCAGCCACCCUCCAUAGCAUCAGGAACAAGAAAGAGGGCAACGGGUAACGAAUCCACAAAGAAAAACAACCCUGGCACAGCUGUGCCCCACAACUACCUGCCUACAUCAAACAAAUCUGCCGUACUCCGAUAGCCAUAUCGGAGUACGACAGUGUUUUGAUGCCCCACAUAAAACACAUAAGAGCCCCGAGCCUCCCUCCCAUCUUACCUCCAUUCCCGGCUGGACGUCGGCCCCAUCUUCCGAGGCCUGCGGCACGUGCAGGACGUGGAUGGGAACAUGACAAUUAGGGCAGGCACGUCGAUGACGGCAGCGAAACACACACGCCCCCCUCCCCCAACCAGCCCCAGCCACCCUCCAUAGCAUCAGGAACAAAAAGAGGGCAACGGGUAACGAAUCCACAAAGAAAAACAACCCUGGCACAGCUGUGCCCCACAACUACCUGCCUACAUCAAACAAAUCUGCCGUACUCCGAUAGCCAUAUCGGAGUACGACAGUGUUUUGAUGCCCCACAUAAAACACAUAAGAGCCCCGAGCCUCCCUCCCAUCUUACUUCCACUGCUGGAUGCCAAAUCCUCCUCAUGAUGUCCACCUGCCUCCAUUCCCGGCCGGACAUCGGCCCCAUCUUCCGAGGCCUGCGGCACGUGCAGGACGUGGAUGGGAACAUGACAAUUAGGGCAGGCACGUCGACGACGGCAGCGAAACACACACGCCCCCCUCCCCCAACCAGCCCCAGCC
rnacentral:lncRNA from 1 species